rnacentral:tRNA from 1 species
GCACUUGUGGUGUAGUGGUCAGCACACUCGACGCGUAUCGAGAGGUCCGUGGUUCGAGUCCUGGCGAGGGCA